rnacentral:rRNA from 1 species
UGGGGAAUAUUGCACAAUGGAGGGAACUCUGAUGCAGCGACGCCGCGUGAACGAAGAAGGCUUUCGAGUCGUAAAGUUCUUUUAUAUGGGAAGAUAAUGACGGUACCAUAAGAAAAAGCCCCGGCUAACUACGUGCCAGCAGCCGCGGUAAUACGUAGGGGGCUAGCGUUGUCCGGAAUCACUGGGCGUAAAGGGUUCGCAGGCGGAAAUGCAAGUCAGGUGUAAAAGGCAGUAGCUUAACUACUGUAAGCAUUUGAAACUGCAUAUCUUGAGAAGAGUAGAGGUAAGUGGAAUUUUUAGUGUAGCGGUGAAAUGCGUAGAUGUUAAAAAGAAUACCGGUGGCGAAGGCGACUUACUGGGCUCAUUCUGACGCUGAGGAACGAAAGCGUGGGUAGCAAACAGG